rnacentral:rRNA from 1 species
UACGGGGGGUGCGAGCGUUGUCCGGAAUCACUGGGCGUAAAGGGCGCGUAGGUGGCCUGAUAAGGGUGUGGUGAAAGUCCGGGGCUCAACCCCGGAUCUGCCGUGCCGACUGUUAGGCUAGAGUACUGUAGGGGCAGGCGGAAUUCCGGGUGUAGCGGUGGAAUGCGUAGAGAUCCGGAGGAAGACCGGUGGCGAAGGCGGCCUGCUGGGCAGUUACUGACACUGAGGCGCGACAGCCAGGGGAGCAAACGGG